UGGUAUGCAUGAAGACUGCUGCAGUGUACUCAUAUACAUAAAAUAAAUGCAUAAUUCUUUUUUAAAAAGUUAGCUUGUGAACUAGCACAGUAAGAGAUAACCAACACCCAUGAUAAAGUAGAAGAACAGUUGUGACAACACACUGACAUUGGCUGUAGACAAUUGAAACAGGGAAGGUGAACCGUGGAUGAGUGUCAUUGUACAUCUAGUUCCUAGCAGCAAUGUCACCAAGACAGCAGAGAGGUGUGUUUGGCCCCCAUGUGUUUUCUAUUCCAGUUCACACUGGGUCUCCUGUUGGCCCCGUCAGCCCCCACUGUCUCUGCAAACCUCUUGACUGGACUAAUCUUCAUCCAAUUCAUUAGCGUCAUAGUCAUAGCCACAUUCUGAGUCAAUGGUCCUGUGUGUCAGACUCCACCCCAUCUGCUAGCUCCUCUGUCCAGGCUACCCCUCUGGCUGCCUGGCACACUCCCCGAUGCUUCAGAAGCCCCAAAGCCUCACCUCUCCUGUGAACACAUACUAGGAUUCUACAGAAAGCUUCUCCAUCUUGCUCCCAGCUGUGCCUGUGUAUAGUUUUAAUAAUGUGUGUACAUUGCAGCCUGUCCUAGGCAUGAGGGUGUCCCUUUAUUGGUUGUCUAGAAAUCACAUUUCAGAGCAGAGCCCUAUAUUUUGUUUGUCUGUAGUUGGAUUGAAUACUUUUACAAUGGAUAAAUUAAAAUUUGCCACACAGAUCCCUAGAAAAGAAAAUGAUUAAUGAUUUUCCCUUCUAACUCAUCAUGAAUUCUAAAUUGAAGACUUUUGGAAAGAAGAUGAACUCGAACAUCAGAACAUUGAACUCGAACAUCGGAACAUCAAAUGCUUUAAUCACAGCAAAUGCACCUGAUGUAAAUGGAGAAUCUGGGACUCUCGGAAUGCCCCUCGGCACUCAACAUUAAUUAACUGGGGCAUCACGCAGGACUGCCAUCCGCCUCAUGAUGAAGUGUGUUCUUGCACACUCUGAUUAAGACACAAAUGCCAAGCUGAUAAAGACCAUGGUAAGAAGAGAAGGCUCACCUGCUGGGACACAGCAACAGAUGAGGCAUUGAAUAUGCACAGCCCGGCCAGGAUGACUUCCACCCAGCAAGGUGGAGCAUCCCGGAAGCGAGUGACAACAGAAAACGAAGAGUGAAAUGUUCUUCCUGUGGCUCAUCCACUGCCGGCAUAGGUACAGACGUAAUUUAAAAGAUACACUUAUGUUUAUUGAUGUGUCUCUGUGUGUGCCUAAUGAGGUUACUUAUACCAUGUGAAUGCUGGCACACUCAGUGGCCUAAGGAGGGUGUUAAGUCUCCUGAAACUGGAGUUGCAGGUAGUGGCGAGCCCUCUAAAAUGGGAUGGGUGCUUAGAACUGAAUCCAGGUCCUCUACCAGAGCGGCAAGUGCUUUUACCUGCUGAGCCAACUACCAGUCCCCAACAUUAAGUUUAAAAGGUUUAUUAAAGGAUGGCAAGACAGUUCAGCUGGUGAAAGUACUUACUGCCAAGCCUAACAACCUGAAUUUAAUCCUUAGAACCCACAUUGGUGGGAGGGGAAAACCAACUGUCUUCUGCCCUCCACACAUGCACCACGGUGUGUACAUAUUCAUGAAUGCAUAGACACACCCAUAUACACAAAACAAAUAAAUAAUUUUCAUGUUAAA